rnacentral:rRNA from 1 species
UACAGAGGGUGCGAGCGUUAAUCGGAAUUACUGGGCGUAAAGCGCGCGUAGGCGGCUUUGCAAGUCGGGUGUGAAAUCCCCAGGCUUAACCUGGGAACUGCAUUCGAGACUGCAUUGCUAGAGUAUGGGAGAGGGAAGUGGAAUUUCCGGUGUAGCGGUGAAAUGCGUAGAUAUCGGGAGGAACAUCAGUGGCGAAGGCGGCCUUCUGGUCCAGUACUGACACUCAAGUGCGAAAGCGUGGGGAGCAAACAGG